rnacentral:rRNA from 1 species
GUUCAGGCUCAGGAUGAACGCUGGCGGCGUGCUUAACACAUGCAAGUCGAACGAUGACUUUUGUGCUUGCACAAAAUGAUUAGUGGCGAACGGGUGAGUAACACGUGAGUAACCUGCCCUUGACUCUGGGAUAAGCCUGGGAAACUGGGUCUAAUACUGGAUAUGCACCGUGAACCGCAUGGUUUUUGGUGGAAAGAUUUAUUGGUCAAGGAUGGACUCGCGGCCUAUCAGCUUGUUGGUGAGGUAAUGGCUCACCAAGGCGACGACGGGUAGCCGGCCUGAGAGGGUGACCGGCCACACUGGGACUGAGACACGGCCCAGACUCCUACGGGAGGCAGCAGUGGGGAAUAUUGCACAAUGGGCGAAAGCCUGAUGCAGCGACGCCGCGUGAGGGAUGACGGCCUUCGGGUUGUAAACCUCUUUCAGUAGGGAAGAAGCGAAAGUGACGGUACCUGCAGAAGAAGCGCCGGCUAACUACGUGCCAGCAGCCGCGGUAAUACGUAGGGCGCAAGCGUUAUCCGGAAUUAUUGGGCGUAAAGAGCUCGUAGGCGGUUUGUCGCGUCUAUCGUGAAAGUCCGAGGCUCAACUUCGGAUCUGCGGUGGGUACGGGCAGACUAGAGUGAUGUAGGGGAGACUGGAAUUCCUGGUGUAGCGGUGAAAUGCGCAGAUAUCAGGAGGAACACCGAUGGCGAAGGCAGGUCUCUGGGCACUAACUGACGCUGAGAGCGAAACGCCGCCC